AGGAGGAGAUGGGGCUAUGGAGCUGAGCAAGGCUGAGCCAAGGCAGAGGAAAAGGCAGCACCAGCUGAAGUCAAAGAGAGGAGAAAUUCCCCAGCACAAAUGGGCAGCAAUUCCUGAACAGCUGCUGGCAUCUGCCACCAAAAGGGACUCUGGGGGAAUCCACCAGCAGACUGACUCCAGCUGAGGGACUGCACAGCUUCCAGCAUCUCCAUUCUGGGGC
rnacentral:lncRNA from 12 species